rnacentral:rRNA from 1 species
CAAUCGUGGGGCAGCAUGUCCCGUAGCAAUACGGGAUGAUGGCGACCGGCAAACGGGUGCGGAACACGUACACAACCUUCCUUUUAGUGGGGAAUAGCCCGGGGAAACCCGGAUUAAUACCCCGUAAUAUAAUAGAGUGGCAUCACUUUAUUAUUAUAGCAGCAAUGCGCUUAAAGAUGGGUGUGCGACUGAUUAGGCAGUUGGCGGGGUAACGGCCCACCAAACCUACGAUCAGUAACUGGUGUGAGAGCACGACCAGUCACACGGGCACUGAGACACGGGCCCGACUCCUACGGGAGGCAGCAGUAAGGAAUAUUGGUCAAUGGACGCAAGUCUGAACCAGCCAUGCCGCGUGGAGGAUGAAGGUCCUCUGGAUUGUAAACUUCUUUUAUCUGGGAAGAAAUCCACGAAUUCUUUUGUGGUUGACGGUACCAGAUGAAUAAGCACCGGCUAACUCCGUGCCAGCAGCCGCGGUAAUACGGAGGGUGCAAGCGUUAUCCGGAUUCACUGGGUUUAAAGGGUGCGUAGGUGGGCAGGUAAGUCAGUGGUGAAAUCUCCGGGCUUAACUCGGAAACUGCCAUUGAUACUAUCUGUCUUGAAUACCGUGGAGGUCAGCGGAAUAUGUCAUGUAGCGGUGAAAUGCUUAGAUAUGACAUAGAACACCAAUUGCGAAGGCAGCUGGCUACACGAAUAUUGACACUGAUGCACGAAAGCGUGGGGAUCAAACAGGAUUAGAUACCCUGGUAGUCCACGCCCUAAACGAUGGAUACUCGACAUACGCGAUAUACUGUGUGUGUCUGAGCGAAAGCAUUAAGUAUCCCACCUGGGAAAGUACGAUCGCAAGAUUGAAACUCAAAGGAAUUGGCGGGGGUCC